CUACGGAGGGUGCAAGCGUUAUUCGGAAUCACUGGGCGUAAAGGACGCGUAGGCGGGUUGGCAAGUCAGAUGUGAAAUCCUACAGCUUAACUGUAGAACUGCAUUUGAAACUGCUAACCUAGAGUAUGGGAGGGGGAGAUGGAAUUAGUGGUGUAGGGGUAAAAUCCGUAGAUAUCACUAGGAAUACCGAAAGCGAAGGCGAUCUCCUGGAACAUAACUGACGCUAAGGCGUGAAAGCGUGGGGAGCAAACAGAAUUAGAAACCCCAGUAGUCC
rnacentral:rRNA from 1 species